AGAUUGAACGCUGGCGGCAUGCCUUACACAUGCAAGUCGAACGGCAGCACGGAGCUUGCUCUGGUGGCGAGUGGCGAACGGGUGAGUAAUAUAUCGGAACGUACCCCAAGAGUGGGGGAUAACGUAGCGAAAGUUACGCUAAUACCGCAUACGAUCUCAGGAUGAAAGCAGGGGACCGCAAGGCCUUGUGCUCCUGGAGCGGCCGAUAUCUGAUUAGCUAGUUGGUGGGGUAAAGGCCCACCAAGGCAACGAUCAGUAGCUGGUCUGAGAGGACGACCAGCCACACUGGAACUGAGACACGGUCCAGACUCCUACGGGAGGCAGCAGUGGGGAAUUUUGGACAAUGGGGGCAACCCUGAUCCAGCAAUGCCGCGUGAGUGAAGAAGGCCUUCGGGUUGUAAAGCUCUUUUGUCAGGGAAGAAAAGGGAUUGGCUAAUAUCUAGUCCUCAUGACGGUACCUGAAGAAUAAGCACCGGCUAACUACGUGCCAGCAGCCGCGGUAAUACGUAGGGUGCAAGCGUUAAUCGGAAUUACUGGGCGUAAAGCGUGCGCAGGCGGUUUUGUAAGACUGUCGUGAAAUCCCCGGGCUCAACCUGGGAAUGGCGAUGGUGACUGCAAGGCUAGAGUUUGGCAGAGGGGGGUAGAAUUCCACGUGUAGCAGUGAAAUGCGUAGAUAUGUGGAGGAACACCGAUGGCGAAGGCAGCCCCCUGGGUCAAAACUGACGCUCAUGCACGAAAGCGUGGGGAGCAAACAGGAUUAGAUACCCUGGUAGUCCACGCCCUAAACGAUGUCUACUAGUUGUCGGGUCUUAAUUGACUUGGUAACGCAGCUAACGCGUGAAGUAGACCGCCUGGGGAGUACGGUCGCAAG
rnacentral:rRNA from 1 species